GCUGGCCUGCUCUGGGCGCUUUCUGUCACUGGUGUCUCACUGGAGAUCACCCAGGUCCAUCUCUGUCCCCUCAAAGCUCCACCUCUCUGCCUCUGCAUCCUGCACGCAGUCCUCAUCUCAGGCUUUGGCCCCUCCCCAAAUCAGUCUCUUCUUAGUAUUUGUUUUUGGCCGAGCCACGUGGCAUGUGGGAUCCUAGUUCCCUGACCAGCGAUCAAACCUGUGCCCCCUGCAGGGGAAGCAUGGAGUCUUAACCAUGGGGCUGCCAGCACGUGUGUGCUAAGCCACUUCAGUCAUGUCUGACUCUUUGUGACACCACGGACUGUAGCCUGCCAGGCUCCUCUGUCUGUGGAAUUUUCUAGGCCAGAAUACUGGAGUGGGUUGCCAUGCCCUUCUCCAGGGGAUCUUCCCAACCCAGAGAUCAAACCCAGGUCUCUUAUGUCUCCUGCACUGGUAGGCAGGUUCUUUACCACUAGCGCCACCUGGGAAUUCAUGCUGUAGUUCUGCAUUUAUUCCCUUCAAAAAUACAGAUGGCGAGAGAAAAUAGCAUGUAACAAAACAGAAAAUAGUAUGGUCCUAUUUUUUUUAAAAUGUACUUUCAUAUCAACAAGCAUGGAGUUUCCUUCUCUGGGGUCCACGCUGCGUGGCUUGUGGGAUCUCAGUUCCCUGACCACGGGCUGACGCGGGGCCAUGGCAGUAAAGGCACCACAUCCUAACCACGAGUUUCCUUUUUUUACCAAAAAACGUGAGAUUAUACAGUUUGGCAACUUAGGUUUUUAUGUUUUAUGCCAUCGACCUCUCUCCGUUCUUAAAAAUGACAAAACGUUAUUAUCCAUACAAAUGUAAAGUUACUAAUAAGUCAUGUUCGCUUUCUUCGAUACUAUUAUAAACACAGAUUUGUAUGUAUUUUUAAGUGUAAUCACUCCUAGGGAGAAGAAUUUGGGGUGAUUUUUACUUUCCUCUUGUACUUUUCUUGUUGUUUAGCCGCUAAAUUGUGUCUGAUUCUUUUUGAUCGAUGGACUGUAGCCCUCAGGCUCCUCUGUCCACGGGAUUUUCCAGGCAAGAAUACUGGCUUAGCUGCCAUUUUCUCCUCCAGGGAUCUGCUUGACGGGGGAUCAGAGCCACGUGUCCUGCAUUGCAGUUUGCCACUGAGCCACUGGGGACACCCCUGCGUAUUUUUCCCACCAGAUUUUUUUUUUUUUACAAUGAAGAAAUAUUUUUUUAAAAGCAGUAGAUUGCUCUCUUAAUCAUAAAAAGCUGGUCUACAUAACAAAAACAAAGAACAUAAAGCUCUGAUUUCAAAUCCUCCAAAUAAAGCACAAGAGAGGAGAGGCAAUUGGAUGGUUUAUGUGAAUAAGAUCUGGGGUUUUCCGUCACUUUAUGCAUCUCACCCGAACCCAGGAACCCUGUGAGGUGCUGUGGUGCUGAAAUUCUAACGCAUUUGUAGGAGACGUUAACGCUGAAUUAUGGCAUGCCGACCGUUGGCUUUGAGCUUGUUCAGACACUCACAGAUCAGCUCCAGUUGUGCAUGGUCAACAGAGGCCUUACAAUCCAGAGAAUGUUCAGACAGAGGACAAAGAUCACAGGUCAGUGCUGAGAAAACCCCCAGCAAUUGGCGCAGAAGAUGCAAGAGGAUGUGUGCGUGUCCUCAAAUACUUCCUGCUUUUGAAAGCAGGAUGGAGUCCUUCUGUGUUGCCCCAAAGAGCAAAACUAGGCCAAGGCACUGGGACUCAUACAAGCCAGCCCGAUACCCCCUGUACACCAGCGCUGCAGUGAGCUCCCCACUGCUCUUAGCGUUUACUCUCUGGGAAGUCAUGGCGCUGGGGGCUGAUCCAGACGACAGCCAAGCCCCCUUCUGCCCAUAAAGGCAUAUCCUCAGUGGCCUCAUAACCUGCUCACUUUUCAAUCUCUGUCUUCAGUCACUUCAGUUCAGUUGCUCAGUCGUGUCCGACUCCCUGAGACCCCAUGGACUGCAGCACGCCAGGCCUCCCUGUCCAUCACCAACUCCCGGAGUCCACCCAAACCCAUGUCCACUGAGUCAGUGAUGCCAUCCAACCAUCUCAUCCUCUGUUGCCCCUUCUCCUCCUGCCUUCCAUCUUUCCCAGCAUCAAGGUCUUUUCCAGUGAAUCAGUUCCUCAUAUCAGGUGGCCCAAGUAAUGGAGCUUCAGCAUCAGUCCUUCCAAUGAAUAUUUAGGACUGAUCUCCUUUAGAAUGGACUGGUUGGAUCUCCUUGCAGCCCAAGGGACUCUCAAGGGUCUUCUCCAACACCACAGUUCAAAAGCAUCAAUUCUUU
ensembl:lncRNA